UACGUAGGGGGCAAGCGUUGUCCGGAUUUAUUGGGCGUAAAGAGCGUGUAGGCGGCCAUGUAGGUCCGUUGUGAAAACUCGAGGCUCAACCUCGAGACGCCGAUGGAAACCAUGUGGCUAGAGUCCGGAAGAGGAGAGUGGAAUUCCCGGUGUAGCGGUGAAAUGCGCAGAUAUCGGGAGGAACACCGGUGGCGAAGGCGGUUCUCUGGGCCUGACCUGACCGCUGAGGAGCGAAAGCGUGGGGAGCGAACAGG
rnacentral:rRNA from 1 species